rnacentral:rRNA from 1 species
ACGCUCGACACCUACGGGAGCAGCAGUGGGGAAUAUUGCACAAUGGGGGAAACCUUGAUGCAGCGACGCCGCGUGAGUGAAGAAGUAUUUCGGUAUGUAAAGCUCUAUCAGCAGGGAAGAGAAUGACGGUACCUGACUAAGAAGCCCCGGCUAACUACGUGCCAGCAGCCGCGGUAAUCUGAGCGGGCUGGCAAGGC